GAUGAAGAACGCAGCGAAAUGCGAUACUUGGUGUGAAUUGCAGAAUCCCGUGAACCAUCGAGUCUUUGAACGCAAGUUGCGCCUCAAGCCAUUAGGUUGAGGGCACGUCUGCCUGGGCGUCACAUAUCGUUGCCUGAUGCCAGUUUCCUCGUGAUGGGUGACUGUGCAGGGCGAAUGAUGGCUUCCCGUGAGCAUUGUUGCCUCAUGGUUGGUUGAAAAUUGAGUCCUUGGUAGGGAGCGCCGUGAUAGAUGGUGGUUGAGUGACGAACGAGACCCAAUCAUGUGAGACCCCUACCGAAUUUGGCCUUCAUGACCCACAUGCGUCUUUGGAACGCUCAUGACGAGACCUCAGGUCAGGCGGGGCUACCGGCUGAGUUUAAGCAUAUCAAUAAGCGGAGGA
rnacentral:misc_RNA from 1 species